UACAGAGGGUGCAAGCGUUGUUCGGAAUUACUGGGCGUAAAGCGCGUGUAGGCGGUCCUGCAAGUCGGACGUGAAAGCCCUUGGCUUAACCAAGGAACUGCAUUCGAAACUACAGGACUAGAGUAUCGGAGGGGGUGGCGGAAUUCCCGGUGUAGAGGUGAAAUUCGUAGAUAUCGGGAGGAACACCUGUGGCGAAGGCGGCCACCUGGAAGAUAACUGACGCUGAGACGCGAAAGCGUGGGGAGCAAACAGG
rnacentral:rRNA from 1 species